CCAUCAUGCACCGCGAGGGUAAAGCCCAUAGUCUGUAUAAAAGAAGGUAAAUACUUAAUUUAAGAAUCAUUUUUGAUUAAAUAUUAACAAAUGUUCAUAAUCUACAGCCCGCAAUACUCGUUACACACCAGAAAACUUGUUACAGGCAUGAUAACGCAAAGACCACAUUGUUUUUCUGGGAUCGAGCAGAUAAAUAAAAACAAAAAUAAAAAGUUUGGCCUGAAAGUGGCGCCAGACGAACGACCGUGUUUAUAUCUUGAUAAUAAAGACCAUCAAGUCCCAUAUUCACACACAGAGAGACCGUCACAUGCACAUGACCAGGACCAAGAGGGGUCUCCUGUCUGUUCCUGAGUCCAGGAUGAAAACUAAGGGGGACAGAGCUUUCAGGGCCCCGAAGCUCUGGAACAACUAGCCCGAAGAAAUUAGGUUGUCUGAGUCAGUGUCUUCGUUUAAGUCUCUUCUCAAAACACAUUUUUAUCAGAAAGCAUGUCCUGAUCUUACCUGAGCUGUCUGUU